GAGGGUGGAGCUCAGUGGUAGAGUGCAUGCUUAGCAUGCACGAGAUCCUGGGUCAACUCCCAGUACCCCUA
rnacentral:tRNA from 1 species